GUUGUGUCAUGUGACCUAGAGGCUAAAAUUACCCAGCAGCCCUCGGGGUCAGAUUUCAUGUGAAGAGACGCAGCAUGAAGGACGGCUGCUGUGCUCACACGGAUGCUGAGCGGGAGGAAGUGUCUGCAGGUUAGAGGUCCUGCCUGUGACAUCACGCACUGUGACAUCAGGUGGCUGACAGGAAGUGGUCAUCAUGGUGGGCGUGGUGGCGUGCGGCGCGGUGGCGUCCAUCAAAGCUCUGUGGGAGACGAGGAUCAUGAAGAUCAGCCGGGAGGAAGAGGAGCAGAGGAAGAGGAGGAGGGAGGGCGGGGCCAGCGGCAGGCUGUGUGUUGGUGUUUGGGAGGACCGUGCGGUUCUGGCUCGGCUGAAGCAGAAGCUGGAGACAGAAGACGGACGACUGAUCCUCCGGAUCCAGCAGGAGGACUGGAAGUCUCUGCCGGGCUGCUUGGUCCGGCUCAACCAGGUCCAGGAGUGGCAGAUCCACCGGACCGGCCUGCAGAGCAUCCCUCCCUUCAUCUCCAGCUUCCAGAACCUUCUAGUUCUGGAUCUGUCCCGCAACAGUGUCACAGAGAUCCCCAAACAGAUCGGGCAGCUGACCCGGCUCCGAGAGCUGCUGCUCAGCUACAACAGAAUCCAGUUUGUUCCUGAAGAGCUGAGCGGGUGCGAGAGUCUGGAGAGACUGGACCUGGCCAUGAACCGGUCCCUGGACACGCUGCCGGACCAGCUGAGCAAUCUGAAGAAGCUGCAGCACCUGGAUCUGUCCAUGAAUGACUUCUGCUGCGUGCCGGACUGCGUGGUCGGCCUGCCGGCACUGCAGUGGCUUGACAUGGGAGGAAACCGGCUGCAGUACCUGCCCGACGACAUCCACAGGAUGGAGGAGCUCCACUCUCUGUGGCUGCAGAGGAACCAGCUUGAGAAGCUUCCAGGGAACAUCGUGAGGAUGCAGCGUCUGGACACACUGGUUCUCAGCAGCAACCGACUGCGAGACAUCCCCCCUCUGAUGGAGGACAUGUCCAACCUCAGGUUUGUGAAUUUCAGGGACAACCCUCUGACUCUGGACGUGACGCUGCCGAGCAGGAAGACGAAGAACCCCGAGGAGGAGGAAGAGGAAGAAGAGGAGGAGGAGGACAGAGAGCUAUUUGGACGAGAGUUCAUGCAGAUGUACAUCCAGGAGGCGAGGAAGAGAGCCUACGCUGUUCUCAACGUGCACCGGGCCAAUAGCUGAGCCUCCCUGCCUGCCGAACAGAUUCCAGACCUCCAGACCAUCAUGUAACAUGAAUAACAUCAUAGUAACAAGCCCAACGAUGACUCAGCAAACUAAAAUAAUCUGUCGCUCUGCAGCAAAACAUCCUCAUCAAAGACGCUUCAUAUAUGUAUUCAUAUUUAUUCACAUUCAUGUUUCUGGAGGAUGAAAUCUGUUCUAAAUGUGUGUAUGAGUCCAUGUUUGAUAGGUUACAUCUGUUUAUAUAUUUCUGUGUGAAAAUCAGCCAAUCAGUGACAGUCUGAACAAUCAGCCAAUCAGAGACAGCCUGAACAAUCAGCCAAUCAGAGACAGCCUGAACAUGUAGAAACACUUUAAUGAAAAACAUGUCAACACACGUUCACUUUAACUCCAAAUAAAAAACCUUCUGUACAAAGUCA